CUUCAUUGUGCGUCUUUACAGCCAGAUUUCGAGCGCAAAAAUAAACAUGUCAUUCUAAAAACUAGGAAUAAAUACAGCCAGAAGGUUCAAGAAAUUGUAUUGUACAAGAACAUGAAAUAAAGGUGAUUGUUGACAAAUUUAUCGUCUGAAACAUUUUGUUUAUCAACUAAGCAACGACAAUUUCCGAAUUUUCGUUUGAGAUACAUUUCUUUAAAAAAAACUAUGUCGCCA